rnacentral:rRNA from 1 species
UACGUAGGGCGCAAGCGUUGUCCGGAAUUAUUGGGCGUAAAGAGCUCGUAGGCGGCCUGUCGCGUCUGCUGUGAAAUCCCGGGGCUUAACCCCGGGCGUGCAGUGGAUACGGGCUGGCUGGAGGCAGGCAGGGGAGAACGGAAUUCCCGGUGUAGCGGUGAAAUGCGCAGAUAUCGGGAGGAACACCAAUGGCGAAGGCAGCUCGCUGGGACGGUACUGACGCUGAGACGCGAAAGCGUGGGGAGCAAACAGG